rnacentral:rRNA from 1 species
CGGCGAGUGAGCGGUAAAAGCUCAAAUUUGAAAUCUGGUACUUUCAGUGCCCGAGUUGUAAUUUGUAGAAUUUGUCUUUGAUUAGGUCCUUGUCUAUGUUCCUUGGAACAGGACGUCAUAGAGGGUGAGAAUCCCGUUUGGCGAGGAUACCUUUUCUCUGUAAGACUUUUUCGAAGAGUCGAGUUGUUUGGGAAUGCAGCUCAAAGUGGGUGGUAAAUUCCAUCUAAAGCUAAAUAUUGGCGAGAGACCGAUAGCGAACAAGUACAGUGAUGGAAAGAUGAAAAGAACUUUGAAAAGAGAGUGAAAAAGUACGUGAAAUUGUUGAAAGGGAAGGGCAUUUGAUCAGACAUGGUGUUUUUUGCAUGCACUYGCCUCUCGUGGGCUUGGGCCUCUCAAAAAUUUCACUGGGCCAACAUCAAUUCUGGCAGUAGGAUAAAUCAUUAAGAAUGUAGCUACCUCGGUAGUGUUAUAGCUUAUUGGAAUACUGCUAGCUGGGAUUGAGGACUGCGCUUCGGCAAGGAUGUUGGCAUAAUGGUUAAAUGCCGCCCGUCUUGAA